UAGAGUUUGAUCCUGGCUCACAUUGAACGCUGGCGGCAUGCCUUACACAUGCAAGUCGAACGGCAGCACGGGUGCUUGCACCUGGUGGCGAGUGGCGAACGGGUGANNNNNACAUCGGAACAUGUCCAGUAGUGGGGGAUAGCCCGGCGAAAGCCGGAUUAAUACCGCAUACGAUCUUUGGAUGAAAGCGGGGGAUCUUCGGACCUCGCGCUAUUGGGGUGGCCGAUGGCGGAUUAGCUAGUUGGUGGGGUAAAGGCCCACCAAGGCGACGAUCCGUAGCUGGUCUGAGAGGACGACCAGCCACACUGGGACUGAGACACGGCCCAGACUCCUACGGGAGGCAGCAGUGGGGAAUUUUGGACAAUGGGCGAAAGCCUGAUCCAGCAAUGCCGCGUGUGUGAAGAAGGCCUUCGGGUUGUAAAGCACUUUUGUCCGGAAAGAAAUCCUGGUGGCUAAUAUCCGCCGGGGAUGACGGUACCGGAAGAAUAAGCACCGGCUAACUACGUGCCAGCAGCCGCGGUAAUACGUAGGGUGCGAGCGUUAAUCGGAAUUACUGGGCGUAAAGCGUGCGCAGGCGGUGAUGUAAGACCGAUGUGAAAUCCCCGGGCUUAACCUGGGAACUGCAUUGGUGACUGCAUCGCUGGAGUAUGGCAGAGGGGGGUAGAAUUCCACGUGUAGCAGUGAAAUGCGUAGAGAUGUGGAGGAAUACCGAUGGCGAAGGCAGCCCCCUGGGCCAAUACUGACGCUCAUGCACGAAAGCGUGGGGAG
rnacentral:rRNA from 1 species